rnacentral:rRNA from 1 species
CGCGUAGGUGGUAGUGUAAGUCUGGGGUGGAAUCCCAGGGCUUAACCCUGGAACUGCCUUGGAAACUGUAUUACUUGAGUCAGUGAGGGGAGGGUAGAAUUCCUGGUGUAGCGGUGAAAUGCGUAGAUAUCAGGAGGAAGGCCUGUGGCGAAGGCGGCCCUCUGGCGCUGGACUGACACUGAGGCGCGAAAGCGUGGGGAGCAAACAGGAUUAGAUACCCUGGUAGUCCACGCCCUAAACGGUGGGCACUAGGUGUAGGGCUCGUAAGGGUUCUGUGCCGAAGGGAACCAUUAAGUGCCCCGCCUGGGGAGUACGGCCGCAAGGUUGAA